UCANCCAUAGUGUGCUCUGGAAACUNUCUGACUUGAGUGCAGAAGGGGAGAGUGGAAUUCCAUGUGUAGCGGUGAAAUGCGUAGAUAUAUGGAGGNACACCAGUGGCGAAAGCGGCUCUCUGGUCUGUCACUGACGCUGAGGCUCGAAAGCGUGGGUAGCGAACAGGAUUAGAUACCCUGGUAGUNCACGCCGUAAACGAUGAGUGCUAGGUGUUAGGCCCUUUCCGGGGCUUAGUGCCGGAGCUAACGCAAUAAGCACUCCGCCUGGGGAGUACGACCGCAAGGUUGAAACUCAAAGGAAUUGACGGGGGCCCGCACAAGCGGUGGAGCAUGUGGUUUAAUUCGAAGCAACGCGAAGAACCUUACCAGGUCUUGACAUCCCGAUGCUAUUCUUAGAGAUAGGAAGUUACUUCGGUACAUCGGAGACAGGCGGUGCAUGGUUGUCGUCAGCUCGUGUCGUGAGAUGUUGGGUUAAGUCCCGCAACGAGCGCAACCCUUAUUGUUAGUUGCCAUCAUUAAGUUGGGCACUCUAGCGAGACUGCCGGUAAUAAACCGGAGGAAGGUGGGGAUGACGUCAAAUCAUCAUGCCCCUUAUGACCUGGGCUACACACGUGCUACAAUGGUCGGUACAACGAGUUGCGAGCCGGUGACGGCAAGCUAAUCUCUGAAAGCCGAUCUCAGUUCGGAUUGGAGGCUGCAACUCGCCUCCAUGAAGUCGGAAUCGCUAGUAAUCGCGGAUCAGCACGCCGCGGUGAAUACGUUCCCGGGCCUUGUACACACCGCCCGUCACACCACGAGAGUUUGUAACACCCGAAGUCGGUGAGGUAACCUUUUAG
rnacentral:rRNA from 1 species